rnacentral:SRP_RNA from 1 species
GUGUGCAAGGUGGGGAGCUAGCGGUGCCCUGUUACCUGCAAUCCGCUAUAGCAGGACCUAUAGCUAUUUGCGGGAUUUGAUUGUAAUAUAUUUUUUUGGUAAGUGGUGUUGAUAAUCAAGCCUAACGCAAUAUAGUUCCGUGAACCUUGUCAGGACCGGAAGGUAGCAGCAAUAAGCGGAUUUCUAUAUGUGCCGUUAGCCCACUUGGUUUGAGCUAACUGCCAAAAAAUGCUUUGCAUAGAAUCUCAAGGAUAGUCGCACAC